rnacentral:rRNA from 1 species
UACGAAGGUGGCAAGCGUUGUUCGGAUUUACUGGGCGUAAAGGGAGCGUAGGUGGUGCGGUAAGCCCUCCGGGAAAGCUUCAGGCUUAACCUGAAAAGGUCGGGGGGGGACUGCCACGCUAGAGGACGGGAGAGGAGCGCGGAAUUCCCGGUGUAGCGGUGAAAUGCGUAGAGAUCGGGGAGGAAGGCCGGUGGCGAAGGCGGCGCUCUGGAACGUUUCUGACACGUGAGGCUCGAAAGCGUGGGGGAGCAAACAGG